rnacentral:rRNA from 1 species
AGAGUUUGAUCCUGGCUCAGAUUGAACGCUGGCGGCAUGCCUUACACAUGCAAGUCGAACGGUAACAGCACUUCGGUGGCUGACGAGUGGCGAACGGGUGAGUAAUACAUCGGAACGUGCCCGAGAGUGGGGGAUAACGCAGCGAAAGCUGUGCUAAUACCGCAUACGAUCUACGGAUGAAAGCAGGGGACCGCAAGGCCUUGCGCUCACGGAGCGGCCGAUGGCAGAUUAGGUAGUUGGUGGGAUAAAAGCUUACCAAGCCGACGAUCUGUAGCUGGUCUGAGAGGACGACCAGCCACACUGGGACUGAGACGCGGCCCAGACUCCUACGGGAGGCAGCAGUGGGGAAUUUUGGACAAUGGGCGAAAGCCUGAUCCAGCCAUGCCGCGUGCAGGAUGAAGGCCUUCGGG